CACUCGGAUUCCCUAGUAACGGCGAGUGAAGCGGGAAGAGCUCAUGUUGUAAAUCUGGAUGAGGGUUCCUCGUCCCGAAUUGUAGUCUAGAGAUGCGUGCUCAGCUACUCUCCAGGGCUAAGUCUGUUUGUGAAAGACAGCAUCAUGGACGGUGAUAAUCCGGUUCUUGCCUUGGAUGUUGUAGCGUUUUGAGCCGUCCUCAACGAGUCGAGUUGCUUGGGAUUGCAGCUCUAAGUGGGUGGUAAAUUCCAUCUAAAGCUAAAUAUUGGUGGGAGACCGAUAGCGAACAAGUACCGUGAGGGAAAGAUGAAAAGAACUUUGAAAAGAGAGUCAAAUAGUACCUGAAACUGCUGAAAGGGAAGCGAAUGAAGUCAGUGUUGCGCUUUGUGCUCUGCAUCCUCCCUGCGGGGAUUGUGUAUCGAGGACUUUGCGCUUGUCAGGAUGAGUUCUCUGCCGCGGGAUAUGUUUUGCGUGCUGGACGCUUCGGCUGAACAUGCAUUCUCUGUCGUGGCUUGGACUGAGGUUCCAUCUUGCCUUUGCCUAUGCGUUUAUCUCUCGUCGCUGUCUCUGUUCUACUGCUUGCAGUGCUCAGUUGCCGUGGUUGGACUUGGCGUAUUAUGCAUGCAAGGUCAGGAUCCUGACGAAAUGGCUUUAUUUACCCCGUCUUGAAA
rnacentral:rRNA from 1 species